rnacentral:rRNA from 1 species
CUGUUUAAAUAACAGGUGAAGAAAGGGCCGGGCAAGACCGGUGCCAGCCGCCGCGGUAAUACCGGCGGCUCGAGUGGUGGCCACUAUUACUGGGCUUAAAGCGUUCGUAGCUGGUCUGUUAAGUCUCUGGGGAAAUCUACUGGCUUAACCAAUAGGCGUCUCAGGGAUACUGGCAGACUAGGGACCGGGAGAGGUGAGAGGUACUCCAGGGGUAGGAGUGAAAUCCUGUAAUCCUUGGGGGACCACCUGUGGCGAAGGCGUCUCACCAGAACGGCUCCGACAGUGAGGGACGAAAGCUGGGGGAGCAAACCGGAUUAGAUACCCGGGUAGUCCCAGCCGUAAACGAUGCGCGUUAGGUGUAUCGGUGACCACGAGUCACCGAGGUGCCGAAGAGAAAUCGUGAAACGUGCCGCCUGGGAAGUACGGUCGCAAGGCUGAAACUUAAAGGAAUUGGCGGGGGAGCACCACAACAGGUGGAGCCUGCGGUUUAAUCGGACUCAACGCCGGAAAUCUCACCGGAUAAGACAGCUGGAUGAUAGUCGGGCUGAAGACUCUACUUGACUAGCUGAGAGGAGGUGCAUGGCCGUCGUCAGUUCGUAUGUUGGAGCAUA